GACGGAGGGCGCAAGCGUUGUUCGGAAUUACUGGGCGUAAAGCGUGCGCAGGCGGUGAUGUAAGACAGGUGUGAAAUCCCCGGGCUUAACCUGGGAACUGCAUUUGUGACUGCAUCGCUGGAGUGCGGCAGAGGGGGAUGGAAUUCCGCGUGUAGCAGUGAAAUGCGUAGAUAUGCGGAGGAACACCGAUGGCGAAGGCAAUCCCCUGGGCCUGCACUGACGCUCAUGCACGAAAGCGUGGGGAGCAAACAGA
rnacentral:rRNA from 1 species